rnacentral:rRNA from 1 species
AUGGAGAGGCGGCUGUUCGAGACGGUGAGGCACGGCGGCAGGGCGCUGUACAGGCUCCACGCCGUCACGGUGGCCGCCUCAACGCUCCUGGUGCUCUACUACCGGGCGACGCGCGUGCCGGGCUCCGGCGGGAGGCGGGCGGCGUGGCUGGGGAUGCUGGCGGCGGAGCUCUGGUACGCGGCCUACUGGGUCGUCACGCAGUCGGUGCGCUGGAGCCCCGUCCGACGCUGCACCUUCAGGGACAGGCUCACCGCCAGGUACGGAGACAGGCUACCUGGUGUGGACAUCUUUGUAUGCACUGCAGACCCACUUUCAGAGCCACCAAGUCUCGUCAUCUCCACCAUUCUAUCGGUCAUGGCAUACAAUUACCUAGCCGAAAAAUUAAGUGUGUACCUUUCUGAUGACGGAGGCUCGGUCCUCACUUUCUACGCUAUGUGGGAAGCCUCCUUAUUUGCAAAGCAUUGGCUACCAUUCUGCAAGAGAUAUAACAUUGAGCCAAGGUCACCGGCUGCUUAUUUCUCAGAGUCAUAUCAAGAUUUGUGCACCCCAAAAGAAUGGUCAUUUAUCAAGGACAUGUAUGAUGAAAUGACUGAGCGCAUAGAUACGGCUGUCAUAUCACGCAAAAUUCCUGAAGAGAUCAGAUCAAAUCAUAAAGGGUUUUAUGAAUGGAAUCCAGAAAUUACCUCAAAAAAUCACCAGCCAAUUGUGCAGGUUCUGAUAGAUGGCAAAGACCAAAAGGGAGUUGAUAGUGAAGGAAAUGUGCUUCCAACCCUUGUUUACAUGGCACGUGAGAAGAGGCCUCAGCAUCACCAUAACUUCAAAGCUGGGGCAAUGAAUGCUCUGAUAAGGGUAUCAUCAGUGAUAAGCAACAGCCCUGUCAUCAUGAAUGUGGACUGUGAUAUGUAUUCCAACAACAACGAUACCAUCAGAGAUGCAUUGUGCUUUUUCCUUGACGAAGAAAUGGGUCACAAGAUCGGUUUUGUGCAGUAUCCUCAGAACUAUAACAACAUGACCAAGAAUAAUCUAUAUGGGAACUCCCUCCAUGUCAUCAAUGAGGUGGAGAUGGGUGGUAUGGACAGUUUGGGUGGACCUCUGUAUGUUGGCACUGGAUGUUUCCACAGAAGGGAGAUCCUUCGCGGCAAGAGGUUCACCAAAGACUAUCAAGAAGACUGGAACGGAGGGAUCAAGGGUAGAAUACAAGAUACUAGCAUAGGUGAGAUUGAAGAGAAAGCAAAGUCUUUAGCAACCUGCACAUAUGAACAUGACACACAAUGGGGAGAUGAGAUUGGGUUGAAGUAUGGUUGCCCCGUGGAGGAUGUAAUCACCGGAUUGGCGAUACAUUGCAGAGGAUGGGAGUCAGUCUACAGCAAUCCUACAAGACCAGCGUUUAUGGGUCUAGGUCCAACGACACUUGCUCAGACACUACUGCAACACAAGAGAUGGAGCGAGGGUAGUUUCUCAAUCUUUCUGUCAAAAUACUGCCCCUUCUUGUUUGGGCAUGGAAAAACCAACUUACGACAUCAAAUGGGCUACUGUAUCUAUGGGCUAUGGGCACCCAAUUCACUCCCUACCCUGUAUUAUGUUGUCAUCCCUUCACUAGCCCUCCUCAAAGGCAUCCCCCUUUUCCCCAAGAUUACGAGUCCAUGGAUCGCACCCUUCAUAUAUGCCUUCUGUGUGAAGAACAUGUACAGCCUAUAUGAGGCAUUAUCAUGUGGAGACACGUUGAAAGGAUGGUGGAACGGACAAAGGAUGUGGUUGGUUAAGAGAAUAACCUCGUUUCUCUUUGGAGCCAUUGACACAGUUCGAAAGCUAUUAGGGCUAUCAAAGAUGACAUUUGUGGUUACACCAAAGGUAAGCAUUGAAGAUGAAUCCAAGAGGUAUGAGGAAGAAAUUAUGGAAUUCGGGUCAUCGACUCCGGAAUAUGUGAUCAUCGCAACUAUCGCGUUACUCAACCUUGUUUGCCUCCUGGGAGGGCUAAGCCAAAUCAUGACAGGUGCAUGGAAUAUACACUUGGAUGCAUUUUCCCCCCAACUCAUUCUUUGUGGGAUGCUAGUGAUAACCAAUAUGCCAUUCUAUGAAGCAAUGUUCCUGAGGAAUGACAAAGGCAAAAUACCAUUCACAGUAACAUUAGCUUCUUUUGGCUUUGUGAUGUUGGACUUUCUGGUGCCAAUAGUUUAA